AGUUAUUUUAGGAAAAAUAUGGUGCUUCUGAAUUUUAUCCCUAUGUUUCCCUCACUUAAUUUUACAAAGAACCAAAUAUAUUCUCUCAAUUAAAAAAUCUAUAAGAAAAAACGCUAUAUUCCAGAAAUUUUCAGCGAUGUGAGGAUACUCCACAAAACGACUAAGAAGCCCUAUUACAGAAAAUUUCAAUCAAAGCGGCUAUUUCAGAAAUUUUCAGCGAAGCUUUUGAUGAGGAAAACAACAGCGAACAACAAUCACUUAGACUACAAAUCUCUUGGACAUCGAAGCUUUUGUUGAAACUCGUUGGUCCUCUUGGACAUCGAAGCUUUUGUUGAAACUCGUUGGUCCUCUUGGACAGCUAGGUUCGACUUCAAAUUCUUGCAUAUAAAGGUGAAAAAUGCUUAUGUCUUCGCUGCUAGUUCAUGAUUUCUAAGUCCCCAUUGAAUAAUUUUUGAAAAAUUCUAAAGAUAAAUAAAUGGGUUAGUCUUAAAUCUAUGUUAUUUAUUCUAAUGUAGGUAAUGUAUAUACUUCCCAUGUUUGACUCUAUGAUGUAUAGUGAAACAGGAAAAUAAAAUACUUCUAAAUUAAAGUUACAGUUGAGUAUUUAGGGUUAAAGUUGAAGAAGAUUUAGAGUUAAACUUGAGAGGAUUUAGGGUUGAGUCAGGCUCUAGAAUGAAAACAUUAAUGCUUUCUGGUUGUUUGUGUUAUAUGCAAGAUGGCUCACUUGGGAGAUCUAAAAUAAUUGCUUUGUACCGGUGCCUAAUGACUUUAAGACGAGCUAAAUUGUUAUUGAAUAUGCCCUGUUAUUGUUUAAGAGUUGCCUUGUCUUCAUUGAAAUGAUUUUGAUGGAAAAUCUAUGAGAUUAUAGUUAUAAAAUAUUCCAAUAUUUAUUUGUAUUGCAAAAGACACAAAAGAUACAAGAAGCCAGCCCUUGGUAAAUUAGAAAUGUAGAUGAAUCUGUUAGAAACCUUUAUGUGUUCUCAUCUCAGUGUCGCUGCCCAUGAAAAGUUAACUCCUUUUGACCUCAACUCAUUUUAGUCGGCAUUUUGUUUUGACAAUCUGAAGCUUACUGUCACCUUUUGUUAUCAUUCACUCGAAUGGUUCUUUUCUUCUUUGAUUUACUGUUGAUGCCUAGUGAUGGACUGUUUAGUUUCAAAUUGAGGGUGUCUAAGUUGUUUGAUGUAUAAGCUAUGCUCUUGUAUUUGUUGUUGUUUUGUUAGUGUGUGAGAUGACUUCAAUCAUUGGUUCCAUUGAAUGGUUUUCGUUAAGUAGUUUUAAGGAGUUAUAUAUCGAUCUAUUUAAGUUUGGUUAGCAUAAUUUCUAGUUGUUUGGUUGCUUUAUUGUUCCUCUAGUUCAGCUUUUGUGCUUGAUUCCAUUUACUUACCGGAUUAAUUUGAGUUAUUGUCUUUCUCACGCCUGGUUGUGAUAUGUAGAGCUUCGUCUUUCUUUAACGAAUUCCGAUGAGUUGAAAGAGCAUAGAAUUUGGAGGUUGCGACUAUUUACCUAGUUCCUUGACCUAUUUUCUCAUUGUAUAUGCCUAAUUUAAUUGCCUUCCGAUCAGUAGUUUAUGUGGUCCAGGAAGUAUUGCUUUCAAGUAGGAUGGAACUGAUUUUAUUGUUAAAUUUUGAUUUUGGCUUCCCCCAUAAAUAUUUUGUCCUUUCUUCAAAUAUUAGAAAUUAUUUGGCUUGAUCUUCCAGUAGUUUUGUUUGUGCUUAGUUCCCUGGAAAUUUUACUUUAGAUCAAUUGGCUCUUAAUAUGGAGGGAUUAAUGUGUGUUGUGCGUGGCAGCAGUUGUUGUAGAAUGUGUCGCAUUCUCCUCCUUAUCGUAGCAUAAAUGUUGAGAUAAUUUUGUUAGCUUUGCGAAAACUAAUACUUUCUGGUUGUCUGUGCUAUAUGCAAGUUGGCCCACUAGGGAGAUACAAAAUAUAAUUCUAUUUAUGAAUACAUUAAAUGGUUUACUAGAAUCAAAAUAAAUAUAUUGAUAGUUAUUUGCUUGACGCAGUCUGUUGCAUUGUGGUGUGACUACUUAAGUUUUGUUCAAGAGCAUGACCGAUCAGUUUGUACACUUUCUGCACCUGAAAUUUCAAAGGUGUGAAAUCUAUUUGAGCGUGCCCUUAUUUCUUCGUAUAAUAUAUGUUAUUUUCUCUAAUCUAGGUCUAUCAUAUAAUAUAUGUUGUUUUCUCCAAGCUAUGUUUUUGUGUAAAUUAAAAUUUUGAUACUAAAUGUUGCAACAACAUUUACUAGUAAGUGGGUCUACUCUUCCAUACUUUUUAACUUCUUUAGUCCUAUUUUUACACAAGUUGGAAUAGUCAUGAGUCAACAAGAACCUUCAAAAAGAAACACAAGAAGCAAAAAAACAAGACAUUUGCUAAAUCGGGAUCAUUAUCAUUCUUGGCAAAUAAGAAACGGCGGUUAUUGACAAUAAAUGAAAUUGUUCAAGCUAUAGAGUGCGAGAAAGGACAUAUGCUUAAAUUAAUAAGAGUACAACAAACAGUAGCCCCAUAAUCUGAAGCAAAUAGACAAUUCUAUAGAGAAGCAGCAUGUCAAGGAGCAGCCUGUCGGAGAGAUACAUUUCGAUGAUCAAGUGCAAAUGAAUUAUGUCACUCCUUAAACAGAUGAUCAACCUAAAGAAUAAGCUGAAUAUGUAAUUGCACAACUUAAGAAUGCCGGAUUAAUUAAUCCUAUCAUAAUGGAAGCAUUGUUCAUUCCUUCACCAAUAGAAUCUACUUAUGUUCAAGGGGCCGAGCAAGGUGAUGAAAUUGAAGAAGGCGAUGAAAGCAGUAGUGAAGACUUGACAUAGGAUCUGAAUAGUCGAUGUUAACUUACUAAUGUUAUAGAAAUCUUUUAUUUUUGAAGAUUGGAAUAUGUGUGCAUGUGUUUCACCUUUUUUUUGGUAAAAAAGUAUUUGUAUAUUUUGCUUUUAUUGAUAUUAGCCACAUGGAUCUUGAAUCAUAAUUUUGGUUAUGAACAUUUCUUCUCGUGAACGAUUUGUGUAUUUAUAUUAUAAAAUUACUGACUAGCUAAAAAUGUGAUCUUUGUGGAAGUGCACCAAUAAUAUCUAUACGUUGCAAUAGCUUAAUAACAAUUGUUGCAGAAAAUAAGAACUGUAGCAGUACCCUGUAAUAACUGUUAGCAAUAGCCAUUGAGCAACAUUUGUAAUGGUUUAAAACUGUUGCAUUACCUGAUAAUAACCGUCGCAAUAGGAUAAAAUUGUUGCUGAACAGAGAGAAAAAUUAUAGCCCUAGCCUCAACAAAACUGAUGCAUAUAACUCUUUACCAACGGUUUAUAACCGUACCAAUACGACACGAACCAUUGGAAAUUAAUUAAAGUGAAAACUAUGGCAAUAGUUCAAUCUACUGCUACGGUUAUGGGAAUCGCCACACCUAACCGUGACAACAGAUCUAUUGCUACACGAGUUGUUGUACCGGUUUCCAUAACUGUGGCCUUAGACCUACAGCUACGUAAAGAAAGUCUAUUGCAACGGUAAAUGAACCGUGACAAUAGAUCAAAUUUCUAAUAGUAAUGAAAGCACAUGCUACUAGGUCUUUUGUUAAUGAGAUUUGUAAGAGCUUCAAAUUAAAAUGUUGUGAAGAACAAUUGUCUUUUGUUUGAUUUAAAAGGUUUUGGGUUAUGUUUUACCGGAGGAGGGAUCUUUGUUUUUUAUUUUAAUUACGGCCCCUUGAACUGUCUAGAUUUUCCGUAUAGACAUCUUAACAAGAGUUCCUUCCUAUUGAACACUUAAACCACUCAAAAAGUGUAUCUAUCAAACACAUCUGGCUGACUUUUUACCUGUCGUUUGAGGCAUGCCUUUUAAGCGCAUGAAGUGAGAGAAAAAAAAAGCUGAUGUGUCUGAUUGACACACUUAACGGUUUAAAUGUUCCCCCUUUAUUUAUCCAACCUUAGAUUUUCCCCCUUUUUUUAAUUUUCUCAUCUCUUUCUUCUCCACAUCUCAUCAUUGUUGCUGAAAAUCAAACAAAAAUCUUCAUUCAUCUUCUUCACACCGAAAGAAAUGUCCAAUUUGUCGAUUUCAACUUCUUCAAAUAUCCUAGUUUUCUCGAAUCAGCCGUAGAAUACAACAACAGCAGUUCUUUUCUUCAAUCGAGCACGCCGUAGGAAGAAUAUAAACAUUGAACUAUGUUAUGACUCAAUUUCUUCCAAGUUGCUUGAAAGUUUAAUCUCUAAUUGUUCAUUUCUCCAUAAUUUGGUGUUGAAACUCUUGAAAUUGACUGAUGUUGAAAUUAAAGCUCCAAUGUUGAGAUCUUUUGAUUUUAGUGGAAGUUCAACUAUAUCUCCUUCAAGAAUAUUCUUCUAUUGGCAAACUUUCGCUUAUAGACUAUACAUUUUAUUUAGAAUGUGAUAUUGCCAAUUUUUUCAGUUCUUCUUGUGUUCUCAAGAAUCUUCAAUUGAGCGAAAGUAUCCUCAAGUUUUUUUGGAGCGGUCAAAUGUGGAGUACCAACAAGGCUUUCCUCUGGUAUUAAAUUUGUCAAAUGUCUUUGCAUAUCUUCUAUUUGUCUGGAUGACCUGGAUGUUAUGUCGUGGGAUAUAAAGUUACCACGAAGAUUAGAUUUUCCACGUAGGAGGUGUGUAAUGUUACACGCUUCAUCUUAAAAUAAAUGCUUCAAACGACUCGUGACAAGUCAGUCAGGUGUGUUUGGUAGGUACACUUUUUGAGUGGUUUAAGUGUUCAAUAGAAAGAACCUCUUGUUAAGGUGUCCAUACGGAAAAUCUUGACUAGUUCAAGGAGCCGCUUAUGUGUUCAGCCUUUUAAUUUGAAAUGUAAAUAAACAAAUAAAAUCAAGUAAAUGGUUGAGAUGAAGCCACUUGUCCGUCCAUUAAUUUUAAGGGUAUACACAACCUAAAAGAGUAACGAUAAGAGUAU